AAAAAACCAACAAGGAGAAAAGCUUGUCUUUAAAUAGAAGAAAUACCAAGGCACAUUCAUCUGCUGAUACAGAACAAGUGGAAAAGAAGCCAGGUGGCAUCCCCAAGUAUGUAAUAUGGUAUGUCACUAUGCCACUGCGUAAAUGUACUAGUGAUGAAUUGAGAGCUUUUAUGUUUCGCAUAUCGGCAGCGAAAAUACUUCCUCAAACUGAAGUAGAAGAAGUUCCCUCAGAAGAAGUAGAGGCACCUCCCAAGACACCUCCCAAGAGUAUGGAUGCACCCUCCCCAGUGAAUGUGGAAAUAAUUUCCAACAGAAAUAUAGAGGCAAUCCCCAAGUGUAACUUUUACAUGGACAUAAUCUCUGAGGAUAGCACAGACUUAUCCUCUGUGGUGAGUGUGGACGUGUCAUCUGUCAUGAGCACAGCUGAUUCUGAGAUGAGCAUGGACAUAUCCUCCUAGUCGAGCAUAGAUGCACCCUCAAAGGUGCACCUGGAAACAGUUCCCAAGAAAUCAGAAACGGACCAACAGGCCUUAGACCCUGUUGCCAAGAAACAUCUAUCAUCAUAUGGUGAAUGUUAUACACGGUUGUUUUCUCCUGCAAAUGUUUGUGCUCCACCAUCUCCUGUCAGUUCUAAGAGUCAAAUCCAAAAGAACCAGCUUUCAUCACCUCUGCCGAAACAGUCAAAACAAUCAGCAGACCCUUCCCUUCCCUGUAAAAUGCCUCUUCCGUGUGCCCAAUCUGUGCAAAGUGAAUCAAGCGCUGAUAAAAAUAAGAAAGUCACAGUCUGGUAAUAAGAAUACUGCAGGGUUUAUGAAUGACAAGGAGACAAAAAAACUUUUUGCCAAAUUACGUCGCAUUGCUCUUCGACUAAGAUCAAGACAGGAAGAAGAAAAACAACAGGAAGAGAUGCAGCCAAGGGUCAUUAAGAAAUCAAAAGACAUGGAAAAGAGAGAAGCUGAGUUAUUGGAAGCAGAAGAGUUCUUAAAACCCGAAGAUGGGCAACAACAAAAGGAGACUGAAGAGAAGAAGGGAUGGCCGGAUCAGGAAGACCAGGAAGCGCCACUUCAGAGAAUAGAAGAAAUUAUGAAGCGGACAAGAAAAACAGAUGUGAAUGCCUCAAAGGUCACAGAAACACCCUGCCAUGACACAUAUGAGGAGGCCGAGGCUACCAGUGAAUAAAGUGACACGGACUCAUUGAAUGAAAUGUUUCCAUCAGACACUUUAAAUGGCAAAGAUCCAUCUUCCAAAUUGAAAACGUCAAUUAAGAAUAUCAAGAAGAUGCCGCCCAAGCUGGUAUUUCUGCAAGACAGUAACAGCCAGGUCCAUAAAAAGCCAAAGACAUAUUUUAAUAGUGAUUUUAAAACCUUCAGACCAAAAAGCGCAAAAGACACUUCAACACAGGCAGUCAUUUCAAGGUGAGUCACUUAGCCAGCUUAUCUAAAUAAACUUGGCAGGAUUAUGAUUGACAUUCUUAGAAUGCUAAAUAAUAUUAUCUCUUGAGCUCAUGUUUGUACCAAAUAUGAUGUCAUGUAUUUGACUUAACAGAAAUAAACUUAUCCCCACAAUAGCCUUGCUAGGUAAGGAUCAUCAUCCCCGUUUAUAAAGACAAGGAGACUGAGGUGCAGAGAAGCUAGGGGCUUCAUUUGCCCAAUAUCCUGCUAUUAAAGGGCUGAGCCUAAAUUCAAUUCCAGAUACAUCUGGCUCCAAACUUCACUUUUGUUCAUAGUGAUUAAUGUUAUCUCAUAAAGUCGGGCAAGAAGACAUUUAUUGAGUGAUUGCUAUCUACCAGGCAUUUUUUAUUACCCGUUUCAAUUAUCAUCACAACUCUGAGUGUGACAGUAAUAUCCUCAUUUUAUUUAUUUUUUAUUUUUUAUAUUUUUUAAGAGAAGAGGUUUCACCAUGUUGGCCAGGCUGGUCUUGAACACCUGGGCUCAAGUGAUCUGCCCACCUUGGUCUCCCAAAGUGCUGGGAUUACAGGCAUGAGCCACUGCGCCCAGCCAUAAUAUGCUCAUUUUCAGUGUAAGGAAACAAGGUCAGAGGUUAGGUCAGGAAAGCAGGAACCAAUUCAUGGAAAGGAACACUAUUCACCUGCAAGGCCCACAGGAAUAGGAGUCUGCUGAGAGGGGCGGUGAUGUGGAAGGAGCACUAGAGCUAGAGAACCUGCACCAGUUCUGUCACUGCAUGUCAUUGGCCACAUCCUUGACCAAUCUGAGGGAGGGACAGGGUUUCUGGAGUCCCAUGUGCUUAGCUACUCCUACUCCUGGUGCUUCCGUGGGACCAAGGGCUUUCUGGAAUACAGUUUGAAAAUCAGUGUGUCUGUGAUCUCUAGGGCUCCUUUUAGCCAUCCUGUUCUAUGAUUCAGAAAAUUUUUUUAAUUCCAAGGCAUUUCUUAGAAGUUAAUCAAAGGACAGAGCUUCUUUUAGGACAGAGCCUUGGUGUGGGAAUAAUUGGGAUUCUAACCAAACUGUCUCUUUCCAGACCAUCUACCAAAAGAAUGACCAGUCGUACAACAAAAACCAGAAAGGCAGAUGAAACCAAUACCACCAACAGAUCCUCUGUUAGUAUGAAUUAUGAGCAGCAGCAUAUCUGUGACAAGAUUACCAACAUUGUAAGUCACACCAGACUGUCUUUGUCACGUUUUUCUCCUGACAGCCACAAACAAAAUCUGGAGGAUUCCAUGACAUCUUGCCAAAGUCUCCAGACACCUUUAGACGAUAAGAGAAGCAGCAAACCUGUUUAUCCUAUUCAGGUAGGGCCUCAUCUCAUCUACCUUUUUCUUGAAAGGCAAUUGACCCCGAAACCCCCUCCCCUCCUUCUAGCUGUUACAGGGCAGUCUUUGCACCACAUAGCUUUGGAAGAGAAGAAGACAGUUACGGGUCUGCAGGAAUGAUGUGAGAGUCUUCCAUUAAGCUAGUUUUGAGAGAGUAGAGAGUAGAUGACUUGUUUCUAAUUUUUAUGUCCCACAUUUCCUGCCAGAUAUAAAAAAUAAGCUCUGACCAGGUGCGGUGACUCAGGCCUAUAAUCUCAGCACUUGGGGAGGCCGAGGUGGGCAGAUCACUUGAGGUCAGGAGUUUGAGACCAGACUGGCCAACAUGGUGAAACCCUCAGCUCUACUAAAAGUACAAAAAUUAGCUGGGUGUGGUAGUGCAUGCCUGUAAUCCCAGCUCUACUUGGGAGACUGAGGCAGGAGAAUCACUUAAACCUGGGAGGCAGAGGUUGCAGUGAGCCGAGAUCACACCACUGCACUCCAGCCUGGGCGACAGUACAAGACUCUUUCUCAAUAAAAAAAGUUCUUUUCAAACUUACAUCUCAGACUCCUCUUAGCUCCUGGUCUGCCGGUUGCUUGGCAAGCAUGGAAACAUUUGCUUAGGGCAGAAUAUUAGGAAGGUCUUUGGAAUAGCCUCAACCUAUGUUUCCAAAACUGGAAGCCCCUUGUUUUUCUUUCCUUGAGAAGCUCUCUUUGAAAUUGAGAAACACCUUGGGCUUGGUCGGGAGCUGGGGACGGGGAGGACAUUUAUAGGAUCACCAGUAUGUCAGCAACUCCAGGAGCAUGUGCCCUGAAGCGAGGCCAGGGACCAGUUGCUGUGAGACUAGUAUCUUCUCUACUAAUCUUUCUUUUAUUUUUCCCUCUGGUCAGAUAUGUAAACUUUUCUCAGCCUGGGAGGUAAAUACAUCGUCCACUUGGAUAACUCAACUCCUGGGCCAUCAGUCCUCAAAUUUUUUGCUUCUGACUUGAACCUGGCAAAGGAUGUGACACCGAAAAAUUAAGGAAGCUUCAGAAGGUCACCUUAAUAUAUGUCUUAGAAGAUGCGCAAAUCAUCUUGUCCUCUUGUUUCUAAGCAAGAGUUCCGAGUAAAGUGUUGUUUCUGUUUUGUUUGGAAAAUCACAAUUGUCUCUCAUUCUUGUGUUUUCCUAUCAACGUGUUUGCUGGAGUGAGUGUGUAUCAAGGUUGCUUUCCUGAAACUGUAACUGUAGAGUUUCUAGAAGAAUCUGAUUGCAGAGCUAAUUCUCUUUCAGUAUAUAUUUGAAAUCUUAAAGUAAUGCUUUUUUUUUUUUUUUUUAUUGAGAGUCUCGCCCUGUUACCCAGGCUGCAGUACGGUGGCGUGAUCUCAGCUCACUGCAACCUCCACUUCCUGGUCUCAAGCAUUUCUCCUGUCUCAGCCUCCUAAGCAGCUGGGAUUACAGACAUGCACCACCACGCCUGGCUAAUUUUUUGUAUUUUGAGUAGAGAUGGGGUUUCACCAUGUUGGCUAGGCUGGUCUUGAACUCCUGGCCUCCAGUGAUCCACCCGCCUUGGCCUCUGAAGGUGCUGGGAUUAUAGGCGUGAGCCACCACACUCGGCCAAGUAAUGCUUUUUCUGUGUACCAGUGACAAUUUUGAGAGCUCAACACUCACAGUUGAUCUUGUAAAGAACAUAAUAGAUUAUGCAAGGGCUGCAGGAUCGCUCACAGGAGCUGUGUCACAUUGCUUCUUAUAUACGAAAACCAAAGGUUACAGAAUAUAGUAAAUUGUAUUUUACCAUGAUAUAUGUAUAUGUUUAACUCUACCCAUCUGUACCAGUGAGUAUACAGGCACUAAUAGCCUCAAAUGUUGGGAGUCCUGUGACACUCCAUCUUGGAACAGCCAGCACCUUUCAUGCUUUGGCAGUGUUUCCUUUUGAAGGACACAUUGGGGUUUAUCUACAGAAAUAUGUAUUCUUUUUAUUGUGUUCAUAAAGGAGUACAUGGCUGUUGUCUCAUGGGUAAUGUUUAAUUCCUAUAAAUGUUUAAAGUAUUUUUCUGCCUGUACUCUCCAGUUCUGUCCUUGAGUAUACAUUCAGGCUUGAGGUGUAAUCAAAAUUUGCUUGCCUUUCCCUAGCCACUGGCUGUCAGUGAGUUCCCGUGAUGGGCACACAGAAAUGCACACAGAUGUACAUACAUGUAUGCGUGCACAGACCAUAUAUGUUUCCAUAAAACUCAAAUGCAGAUGAAUUGUCCUAACGCUAAUGAAUUUUCAGUGUUGAAUCGCAAAUAGUCCAAAGCAGGUGAGUGUUCCUUUUGGCCGCCAGUUUUGGAUUAGUAAAAGGAAGUAAUUCUUUCAGAUUCCCUGGUUCUUUGCCACUUAGAGUACUGUGCCUUUGAUAUAGAAUAGAGUGGGUUACCUUUGGUUUAAACACUAUUUUUAUAUACUAGAUCUUUCAUAUAUAAAGCAGAGACAAUCAUCCUAACAAAUGAGUUUCUGUUAUUUUUGUGCACAAAUGUCAUGUGUUGAAACACUCUGUUACAGUUCCAUAUAAAUGUGUGCUAUAUGAAGUAAACUUUACAGAUAAAACAGGGUUUUUUCAUUAUAAUACUAAAAAAAAAUGUACUGGUGGUGGUAUAAAGGCGACACCAAUCGUUGGCCAAGCUAUGAACACAGGCAGCCAGCAAAUUCAAUGAACAAGGAUGAAAUCUUCUGAUCUCCCUCUUCAUCCAGUUGGUGAUUUGGCAGAGUUCCACUUCUGGAAUAGAAAGAUGUGAGGUUGUUUGUUUGUUUGUUGUUUGUUUGUUUUAGAGACAAGGUCUCACUCUGUGGCCCACGCUGGAGUGCAGUGGCAUGAUCAUAGCUCACUGCAGCCUCAAACUCUGAUAUUCAUGCAGUCCUCCAGCCUCAGCCUCCUGAGUAGCUAGGACCACAGGCAUGGCACCAUACCUGGCUUUUUGUUGUUGUUCUUGUUAUGUUUCCCAGGCUGGUCUUGAACGACCGGCCCUAAGUGAUCUUCCUGCCUCAGUCUCCAAAAAUGCUGUGAUACACCCAGCCUAGAUGUGCAUUUCCAAGCUCUGGUUGUCUUCCUGCAACUAUUUCAGUGCUUGUUACUCUUCCCUGUUAUGGUUCUGUUGUGUAAGUUGAGGCUUAUUACUACAGUAUCUUUUGAUUUUUUUUUUUAAAAAAAUGUUAUGUUGUUUCUUUCUUGCCCUGUUUUAUGGUGCUGACCUUGCUUUUUUUUUUAUCAUAAUAAAAAUC
rnacentral:lncRNA from 1 species